CCGUAGCUCAGUUGGAUAGAGCGUUGGCCUCCGGAGUCAAAGGCCGAGAGUUCGAAUCUCUCCGAG
rnacentral:tRNA from 1 species